rnacentral:rRNA from 1 species
AACGAACGCUGGCGGCGUGCCUAACACAUGCAAGUCGAACGAGAAAGGGGCUUCGGCUCCGAGUAAAGUGGCGCACGGGUGAGUAACACGUGGGUAACCUGCCUCUAAGAUUGGGAUAACUCGUCGAAAGAUGAGCUAAUACCGAAUAAGACCACAGUUCCCGCGGGAACAGGGGUCAAAGGUAGCCUCUGCUUGCAAGCUAUCACUUAGAGAUGGGCCUGCGCACCAUUAGCUAGUUGGUAGGGUAACGGCCUACCAAGGCAAAGAUGGUUAGCUGGUCUGAGAAGAUGAUCAGCCACACUGGAACUGAGACACGGUCCAGACUCCUACGGGAGGCAGCAGUGGGGAAUAUUGCGCAAUGGGCGAAAGCUUGACGCAGCAACGCCGCGUGAGUGAUGAAGGCCUUCGGGUCGUAAAGCUCUGUCGGGAGGAACGAAUGCUCCUGAGGUUAACAGCCUCGGGAGGUGACGGUACCUUCAAAGGAAGCACCGGCUAACUCUGUG